rnacentral:rRNA from 1 species
ACAGCAGUCGCCACGGUAAUACAGAGGGUGCGAGCGUUAAUCGGAUUUACUGGGCGUAAAGCGUGCGUAGGCGGCUAAUUGAGUCGGAUGUGAAAUCCCCGAGCUUAACUUGGGAAUUGCAUUCGAUACUGGUUAGCUAGAGUGUGGGAGAGGAUGGUAGAAUUCCAGGUGUAGCGGUGAAAUGCGUAGAGAUCUGGAGGAAUACCGAUGGCGAAGGCAGCCAUCUGGCCUAACACUGACGCUGAGGUACGAAAGCAUGGGGAGCAAACAGGAUUAGAUACCCCUGUAGUCCCUGUCUCUUAUAC